GAUGAACGCUGGCGGCAGGCCUAACACAUGCAAGUCGAGGGGUAGAAGGAGCUUUCUCUUUGGAGACCGGCGGACGGGCGGGUAAGGAGUAUGCAAGCUACCUGCUACAGGGGAAUGGCUAAGAGAAAGUUGGAGGAAUGCACCAUAGAAUAGAACCUCCGCAGGAUGGUGAUGUUAAAGUUCUAACGGUACAAGGGGAGGCUGCGUCCCAUUAGUUCGUUGGUAAGGGAAGUGCUUACCAAGACGAUGAUGGGUAGGGGUCCUGCGAGGGAGCUCCCCCACACUGGUACUGAGCCCCGGACCAGACUCCUACGGCAGGCAGCAGUGCGGAAUAUUAGUGAGUGGUCUCAAGCCUGAUCCAGCCAUGCCGUGUGCAGCAACACCGUCCUAUGGAUUGUAAACUGCUUUUUUACAGGCACAAUCCCUCCAACGUGUGGGUGCUUGACGGUACUGUAGGAAUAAGCACCGGCUAACUCCGUG
rnacentral:rRNA from 1 species